CCAGUCUGUGAAGCCUCCAUACAAACAUCAUUAAAUUCUUUACGUGUUUCAGGGAACGUAGGUUUUUUAUAGCCGGUUACGUCGUUCAUGAAAAUUAAAUCUAAGAUCUGACUUUAGAUCUAUUCAAUAUUGCUGUAAAGCUGUCAAGUAACAUUUCCUUCAAUUUACGAUAAUGCUUAGACACCGAUAACUUUAAUAAUUCGUAAAUAUAUUAUUGCUUUAUACCGAGAGUUUGAAGUUGCGAAAUUAAUUUUGUUAGAUAUUUUAAAAUAAAAAAAUGGUUCACAUGCAAGAAAUAGAUGGAAGCGUGCUGGAAGGGGGUGGGCAAAUUCUUAGAAUGUCCAUAUCACUGAGCGCUAUACUGAAUAUACCAGUAAGAGUUACAAAUAUUCGAGCGGCACGCAAGAAUCCAGGGUUAGCUGCUCAACAUUUAAAAGGUAUUCAGCUAGUUGCAAAUAUGUGCCAAGCCGAGCUUAAAGGAGCUUAUAUUGGAUCAACAGAAAUUGAGUUUACCCCCGGCAAAAUCCGAGGAGGACAUUAUGUUGCUGACACACAAACAGCAGGUUCAAUAAGUCUGCUUAUCCAAGUGGCCCUGCCGUGUGCACUGUUUGCCGAUGGCCCAACUAUUAUGGAUUUGAAGGGCGGCACCAAUGCGGACAUGGCACCGCAGAUUGAUUACAUGGAUAUGGUAUUCCGGAAGAUUCUUAACAAAUUUGGUGCUGAUUUCAACAUGCAGAUUCUGAGACGCGGCUACUUUCCACGUGGUGGAGGUCACGUUCGAGUUGAAAUAACUCCGGUACAUAUGCUGCGUAGUAUCAGUCUAAUGGAUAGGGGAGAGAUUGGAGACAUCGGUGGAAUCAGUUUCGUGGCCGGAAACUUGCCAGUCAAGUUCGCCUAUCAGAUGGCAGAUGGCGCUAAACAUGAAAUGGGAUCAAAUCACAGAUUAAACAUCAGAAGUUACAAAGAGGACAGGUCGAUGGCCCCGGACAACUGUAAUGGAAUCGUUCUGUCAUGUUCGACGCCGUCGUGUGUGUUGGGGGCGUGUGGCCUCGGGAGGCGCGGGGUGAGCCCCGGGGAGGUCGGGGGCUCCGCCGGCAGACUACUGAGACAGGUCAUCGACUCGGGGGUCUGUGUGGACUCACACGCGCAGGAUCAAGUGAUACUGUAUAUGAGUCUAGCACCCGGCCUGUCCUCGGUCCGCUCGGGCUCCUCCACUCUGCACACACAGACGGCCAUUCACAUAGCGGAGACACUUGCUAAGGUUAAGUUCGAGAUAACGUCAGAAGGCGGACAGGAUAUUAUAAAGUGUGCUGGGAUCGGUCUCGUUAACAAAUCCCUUCCUGAAGAACAAUGAAGCAACGUCGGUACUCGAAGAAGGCGCUAGUCAGUAGUCACUAAGUAUGCUAAGUUAAGGGUGACUCGUAUAAGCCGAACGUCAGCGUCCUCAGUGAAAUAUAAAUUCGGUUACUUACCGACAUACAUAAUUUCCUAUCCGGUGUAUGUCGGAACUAAAAUCUAUACAUUCAAAGAAAUAUUCCACAUAUUGGUGUAUUCUAAAUAACUUUAUUUGUGAAGCCUCAGUAAUGACGUCGGUCCUCUAGCGAAUACUACGGGAUGACAUCCAAUGGAAGGGACUUUAAGAAUUAUAAAAAAAACUAUGAACCAACAAAUGUAAUGUAACGAAAAGAAUAUAAAAUAAAAAAAAUAUAUAUAUAUAA